AACAUCGCGCACCUGCGGGAACCUGCGGAGGUAUCAUUACAGAGUUGCAAAACUCCCUAAACCAUUGUGAACGUUACCUAAACCGUUGCUUCGGCGGGCGGCCCGGGUCCUUCCCGGCGCCCCUCGGCCCUCGCGGGCGCCCGCCGGAGGUAAACCAAACUAUUGCAUUGUAUGGCCUCUCUGAGUCUUCUGUACUGAAUAAGUCAAAACUUUUAACAACGGAUCUCAGAUCGGAAGAGC
rnacentral:misc_RNA from 1 species